GUAGGUAUAUACGUCGAAUAACAAGCAAUCGGCGUAUAUAAAAGUAUGCAUUUAAACGUAGUUUGAAACAUGUCCAUGGUGGAGCAAAACUAACAUGCACCCCAACUAUGGGUCUACCUUCGUAAGAAGAACCACCCUUCAGAAGAGUUACUUUAUCAUGAUACUGUUCAGCUAUAGCUCCUAACCAAAUGUUAAUCUAAAACAGCAGUAACAGUAAAUAAUAAUAAAAAUACGUGUCUUACCUC